UCUGCAACUCGACUCCAUGAAGUCGGAAUCGCUAGUAAUCGUGGAUCAGAAUGCCACGGUGAAUACGUUCCCGGGCCUUGUACACACCGCCCGUCACACCAUGGGAGUGGGUUGCAAAAGAAGUAGGUAGCUUAACCUUCGGGAGGGCGCUUACCACUUUGUGAUUCAUGACUGGGGUGAAGUCGUAACAAGGUAACCGUAGGGGAACCUGCGGUUGGAUCACCUCCUUACCUUAAAGAAGC
rnacentral:rRNA from 1 species